UACGUAGGUGGCAAGCGUUGUCCGGAUUUAUUGGGUUUAAAGGGCGCGUAGGCGGUUCUAUAAGUCAGUGGUGAAAUCCGGCAGCUCAACUGUCGAUGUGCCAUUGAUACUGCAGAGCUUGAGUACAGACGAGGUAGGCGGAAUUGACGGUGUAGCGGUGAAAUGCUUAGAUAUCGUCAAGAACACCGAUAGCGAAGGCAGCUUACUAGACUGUAACUGACGCUGAGGCACGAAAGUGUGGGGAUCAAACAGG
rnacentral:rRNA from 1 species